AGCAGCCGCGGUAAUUCCAGCUCCAAUAGCGUAUAUUAAAGUUGUUGCAGUUAAAAAGCUCGUAGUUGAAUUUCGAGAUCAAAUUGUUGGUCGUGCCUCGGUACGUACUGGCAUUGUUGAUUUCUCCCUUCUGAAGAACCACGAUGUCAUUAAUUUGGUGUCGUGGGGAAUCAGGACUGUUACUUUGAAAAAUUAGAGUGUUUAAAGCAGGCUCACGCUUGAAUACAUUAGCAUGGAAUAAUGAAAUAGGACGUUUGAUUCUAUUUUGUUGGUUUCUAGGAUCGACGUAAUGAUUAAUAGGGAUAGUUGGGGGCAUUAGUAUUCAAUUGUCAGAGGUGAAAUUCUUGGAUUUAUUGAAGACUAACUACUGCGAAAGCAUUUGCCAAGGAUGUUUUCAUUAAUCAAGAACGAAAGUUAGGGGAUCGAAGACGAUCAGAUACCGUCGUAGUCUUAACCAUAAACUAUGCCGACUAGGAUC
rnacentral:rRNA from 1 species